UACGUAGGGUGCAGGCGUUAAUCGGAAUUACUGGGCGUAAAGCAUGCGCAGGCGGUUUGCUAAGACAGGUGUGAAAUCCCCGGGCUUAACCUGGGAACUGCGCUUGUUACUGGCAGGCUUGAGUGUGGCAGAGGGGGGUGGAAUUCCACGUGUAGCAGUGAAAUGCGUAGAGAUGUGGAGGAACACCGAUGGCGAAGGCAGCCCCCUGGGCUAACACUGACGCCUCAUGCACGAAAGCGUGGGGAGCAAACAGG
rnacentral:rRNA from 1 species